GUCCAAACCGUACUACUGUAUGUUUGUAAUACUAUUGCAUUUAUCGCUUUGAUUAAGCUUGGAAUUUUAAAGGUAUACCUAACCUACAUCUAUUUGGAAUAUUGUCAAAAGUUACUUCCAAAUUUCCUAGUGUCACGAACUAUCAUUCUCAAAAUACAUCUUUCCGGAAUUUAAAUCCUCAGGUGCAUGAAAACGGCAUUAUUUUUUGGUAGCAGUGGUACUGUUUUUAAAUAUUGUCAACAAAAUAUAUACAUUUUGUUGACGGCAAACGUCGUCGUAUUUUGAGGUCAACUGUUAGCUGUCCAAGUUAGGGCAACUUGUGCAAUAAAAUUGAAGCAUAAAUGAGAUACUUAGCUGUCGAAAACUUGCAGAACUUCGCGAAAAUGCGAUUUGAAGUUUGUUGUUUGCUGUCUCUCGUAAACGUCGAUCUGAAAGUCUCUGUUAUCGAUUCGUGAACACAAAUCAGCCAAUCACAUUUAGCGUUGAACAUAACAAAUCAUGAAGUAGCAACUACCCCUGACAUGUCCGGACAAACAUUUUAUGUUAAAAAGUAAACCUAUAGUAGUAACCUAACCGCAACACAAUACUCUUUAAAAUGAAAAAUAGUAGAAAUUUACAUAAUUUAGUCAUGAGCCGAUAUUGUGUCAUGAGUGGUCAUGUGAUCUUCAAGUUCUCCGGGAACAACAAACAUAACAUCACACACGGAACAAACGUAUCCAACACCGUUGGUUCUGUUCAUUCAAGUUCUUGACAUAAACCACACUGAUAGUUUCCAUCAUUGCCAUGUUGCCUUGCAAUAUGUUGUACCAAUUUCAUGAAAUUAAUACAUCGUUUAUCACAUUUACUGCAGCUACAUUUUCCAUCGUGUUCAAACACGAAAAAAUGUUCAUUCAAAUCUUGUGGUUGAACAAUCUCUCUGCUGCAAGUGUUGCACAACAAAUGUUGCUUUUUGUGGUGGGUAAGAGAGCAUUUUCUUGCAAAUCUUUCCUUGCAAACGUCACAUUCGUAAGGCACUUCUUCAGUGUGUCUUCUUCUAUGUCGCAUCAAGGUACCAGACUGUGUAAAUCUCUUCUUACAAACUUCACAUUCAUAAGGUUUCUCUGCAGCGUGCAUUCUUUUGUGAUUCACCAAGCUGUUUGGGUUUCUUAAUCUCUUCUUACAAACAUCGCAUUUAUAAGGUUUGUCUCUGGUGUGAGUUCUUUUGUGUAUUGCUAAAGUUCCUGAUUGUGCAAAUCUAAGAUUGCAAAUAUCACAUUCAUAAGGUUUCUCGCCUGUGUGCGUUCUUCUAUGGUUCGCCAAGUUGCCAUACUGCGUAAAUCUUUUCUUACAAACAUCACAUUUAUAAGGUCUGUAUCCAGUGUGCGUUCUUUUAUGUACCCCUAAAUCUUUUGACUGUGUAAAUCUCUUCUUACAAACAUCACAUUCAUAAGGUUUAUCGCCAGUAUGUGUUCUUUUAUGUAUGGCUAAAUAAUUUGACCGUGCAAAAGUCUUCUUACAAACAUCACAUUGAUAAGGUUUGUCCCCACUGUGUGUUCUUUUAUGUUGGGCCAAGUUGCCUGAUUGUGUAUAUCUCUUCUCACAAACAUCGCAUUCAUAAGGUUUGUCUCCAGUGUGCGUUCUUCUGUGGAUGACCAAGCUGCUUGAGUGUGUAUAUUUCUUCUCACAAACAUCGCAUUCAUAAGGUUUGUCUCCACUGUGCGUUCUUCUGUGGACGACCAAUCUGCCUGAGUGUGUAUAUCUCUUCUUACAAACAUCACAUUCAUAAGGUUUGUCUCCAGUGUGCAGUCUUCUAUGUCUCACUAAGCCUACUGAUUGUGUAAAUCUCUUCUCACAAACAUCGCAUUCAUAAGGUUUGUCCCCAGUGUGCGUUCUUCUGUGGAUGACCAAGCUGCCGGAGUGUGCGAAUCUCUUCUUACAAACAUCACAUUCAUAAGGUUUGUCUCCAGUGUGCAGUCUUCUAUGUCUCACCAAGUUGCCUAAGUGUGUAAAGCUCUUCUCACAAACAUCGCAUUCAUAAGGUUUGUCUCCAGUAUGCGUUCUUCUGUGGAUGACCAAGCUGCCGGAGUGUGCGAAUCUCUUCUUACAAACAUCACAUUCAUAAGGUUUGUCUCCAGUAUGCGUUCUUGUAUGGAUGACCAAACUGGCUAAGCGUAUAUAUCUCUUCUUACAAACAUCACAUUCAAAAGGUUUGUUCCCUGAGUGUGCUCUUUUGUGUUUUACUAAGCUCCCUGAUGUCUUUCCACGAUGAUCAGACAUGGUUUAAUCCAGUUUGUGAGCUUGAUUGAGCAAUCUAUAACUAC
rnacentral:lncRNA from 1 species